CUGGGUUGAUCCAUAUGGUGGUAGAAAAGAGCAUGAAAAGAACAACUUGUUUUUUACAGAAAUUUGAUCCAAAGGAAGUUUUUCAACGAAGUCCUGUAGUUUCUUAUUAAUGUAUUCUGCAGAUUUUAAAUAAUACAUGAAGUGAAUGAUAGCUUUUAUCUCUAACCUUUUGACCUAUCUAUGUACUCUCAGCCUCUUCUAAAUACUAAUAGGAAAAACUGGAGAUGUCUAAUAUUCAGCUGCCUAUGCAACAAUAUUUGAAUGCUUCAGAUCUUUCUGGGGCAACCAAGGAGAAAAUGAGUUUUCUAUACUUAAUACAAAGUAUAGAUAAAAGAAGAAAUAGUGAAUAAAGUUCUUGAUUGCAUGAGAAUCACUGUCUGUAUAACCUGGACGAAUCUUAAAAACCUUUUUCAUAUGUUUUAGAAAAGCUUAUUUGAGUGGAAACCAAACAAAAUCAGUAUGUCACAAAGUAAGCAACUUGCCUCAGUGAGUAUGAUGUUAUGUGUCUGUACUUUCUCACAAAUACAUAGAAGCGCACUUUCUUAAAAUCAGUAAUUGAAUGUUUUGUUCAUGAUUUCUAAAUUGAUAAUACUAACUAUUCUUUUCUGUAUUCCUGUCUAUUAGUGAAAUUCACAUACUAAUGAACAUGUAAUUGCAUGUGGAGCACCUCAUGGAAGUGAAAACUGUCAAGGUGAAAAUCAGCGUAUUCAGAUGGAGGUGGGAGAGGUUGCAUUUGGAUGCCAAACAGUGGAAAACUAUUUGUGCAGAAGCAGCAAUGGAAGGUGUGGGCCAAUGGGGAAGCAGAUAAAAAGGGGAGGACCACAAACAGACUUUGUGACAGAAUGUGAUGUGCAAGAGUCCAGGAAAACAUACUUGUCAGAUGUGAAAUAAAAGCCAUCAGAAGAAACCUGAUAUGGUAAGGAUUACUUUUUCAUGGCUAGAGUCCUUUCUGGGUAAGAGCAUGGAACACACUGUUUUCCCCUUUUGAUCACAAAGCUGUAUUCUGAAAGUUACCUGAACUGAUGGUUCUGCCAGCAAAACAACAACAACAAAAAGAGCUCAGGUCUACCGUGUAUUGUGGGGCUGUUGUAUUUUCAGGUUUAAUGUCAGGAUUUGGUUGCAAGUUUGGAAUUUUAUUACUCUUUUUAUUACUUAUAACAAUAAAACGGGGCAAGGCAUGUGC
rnacentral:lncRNA from 1 species